rnacentral:lncRNA from 1 species
UUUUGAAAUCAAUCAAAUUGUGAAAAAGAGAGAUAUUGGCUCUAAGAGAUUGGCAUCAAGGUCUGAGAAGGAGGCCAAUUAAUAUCUAAGCCCGUUUUUGAGGUUAUUGUCUAUUUGGUUAUUUCGAUCAUUUUUAAAUUUUUUGUGCUUGUUUUCAACUUAGUUUUUAAGGAGUAUACAAAUUUUGAACUAAGAUAAAUAAUUCAUUCAUUAGUUAUUGAGGUUUAAAUCUAUUUUAGAAAUUACUAAGAUUUGGUUUAGGAUUUAGGGUUUGAUUAGGAUUUGGUUAGGAUUUGAUUUAAGGUUAGGAUUUGGUUAGGAUUUGAUUUAAGGUUAGGAUUUGACUAAGGUUUGAUUUAAGAUAAGGAUUUAUUUAGGAUUUAGGAUUUGGUUUAGGAUUUAGGAUUUAGUUAAGAUUUGAUUUAAAGUUUAGGAUUUGAUUAGGAUUUGAUUUAGGAUUAGGAUUUGGUUAGAAUUUGAUUUAGGAUUAGGAUUUGAUUUAGGAUUUAAAAUUUGAUUAGGAUUUGAUUUAGGAUUUAGGAUUUGGUUAGGAUUUGGUUUAGAGAUUAGAAUUUGAUUUAGAGUUUAGGUUUUGGUCAGGAUUUGAUUUAGGAUUUAGGAUUUUAUUUGAAUUUGUUUAGGAUUUAAGAUUUAGUUAGUUUUUGGACUAAAGUUUGAAUGAAGCCUAAUAGGAUUUCAACUAGGAUUAAAUUAAGAUUGAAUUGAGAUGUAUAUGAAAUAUAUUUGUAAUCAUUCUAAUAUUUCUUUAAGAUUUCUUAUUAUUUCUUUGUAAUUCCUUUGAAGUUUCUCUAAAUUUGAUUAAAGCUUGUUUAGCAUUAUUAGUGUUCUAUUAGAAUUAAGAUUUUUUUGUAGAAAUUUUUAUUCUACCUUCCAGAGCCAAGUGCCUAAAGCAUUCUUAAGCAAGACUUCACAUAUUAUGACAACGUGUCAAUGGCUUAUGAAACAAGAUAAUUAUGUGGUACACAUAUAGAUAACUUAUCUUGUAAGUUAAAAUAUAUAUUUUAAAAAAUCAACAUGUGUUAGAGGUCUAGUAGAAUAUUGCCACAUAGUUCUUAGUUAGAGAGUAUAUA